CCAAGUCACUUGGAGGAUUGAGAAUUUUUCCAAUCAAAGACAUAAAGAUCUACUCUGAAAAUUUUACGGUUGAUGGCAACAAAUGGCGGCUUAUUAUCUACCCGGGAACAACAUGGAUGUUCUGUCAAUUUAUUUAGGAAUUGCAGAUUCAGCAACUUUGCCUUCAGGAUGGAGUCGAUUUGCCAAUACGGAUUUGCAGUCAUCGACCAAAUUGAUCGCAGAAAUCUUUUACUAAAGUCGCUACACAGGAGUUCAACGCGACGUCUGGUAAUUGGGGUUUUUCUUCAUUCUUAGCACUUUGUGAAUUAAACGACCCUAAAAGAGGCUACCUCGUCAAUGAUGCAUGCUUAGUUGAAGCCUAUAUUUCCACUGAUAGCACUCCAGGUCUCAUUUCAAAGGAUUCAUACUCCAAAACGGAUGAGGAUAAACAAGACCGUGGAAGGUGAUCACGUGAAGGAAACCAUAGACAUCCAGACAACUGCGAAAACCGAACCAGUAGAAAUCACAACUCCUCCACCAACCCACCUUGCCAGAAUGUUGGAAGUCAGGCCGUUGAACCUACAGAAGAAGAUAUAAAGACAUUUUUCACUAGCUUAGAGUCUGAGCUUUCAAGCCAUGACUCUGUUUUUUCUAAAGAAGAAGCAAUGGAAGCACUGGCUAAAUUAGAUGAAGCCUUGAGUAUGACCCCAGUUAAUCUCUGCCAUUCAGGGAAGGUUUUUCACUUAAGCAGGCAUUCAAGAUCCUAGCUAGUUUCGAUUGUUCCUCUACCACCCUUACAAUUGAGCAGAAAAUGAG